AGUGAACGCUGGCGGUAGGCCUAACACAUGCAAGUCGAACGGCAGCACAGUAAGAGCUUGCUCUUACGGGUGGCGAGUGGCGGACGGGUGAGGAAUACAUCGGAAUCUACUUUUUCGUGGGGGAUAACGUAGGGAAACUUACGCUAAUACCGCAUACGACCUACGGGUGAAAGCAGUGGAUCUUCGGACCUUGCGCGAUUGAAUGAGCCGAUGUCGGAUUAGGUUGUUGGCGGGGUAAAGGCCCACCAAGGCGACGAUCCGUAGCUGGUCUGAGAGGAUGAUCAGCCACACUGGAACUGGGGCAAGGUCCAGACUCCUACGGGAGGCCGCAGUUGGGAAUAUUGGCGAAUGGGCGGAAGCCUGAUCCAGCCAUCCCGCGUGGGUGAAGGAGGCCUUCGGGUUGUAAAGCCCCUUUGUUGGGAAAGAAAAGCAGCAGGAUAAUACCCCGCUGUUCUGACGGUACCCUAAUAAUAAGCACCGGGUAACUUCGUG
rnacentral:rRNA from 1 species